rnacentral:rRNA from 1 species
UACGGAGGGUGCAAGCGUUAUCCGGAUUCACUGGGUUUAAAGGGUGCGUAGGUGGGUCUGUAAGUCAGUGGUGAAAUCUCCGUGCUUAACAUGGAAACCGCCAUUGAUACUAUAGGUCUUGAAUUUUCUGGAGGUAAGCGGAAUAUGUCAUGUAGCGGUGAAAUGCUUAGAUAUGACAUAGAACACCAAUUGCGAAGGCAGCUUACUACGGGAACAUUGACACUGAGGCACGAAAGCGUGGGGAUCAAACAGG